CAAGGACGAAGUGACUGACACCACGCUUCCAGGAAAAGCCACUAAGCUUCAGCUGUAGAAAAACCGUACCGCAAACCGACACAGGUAGGCAGGGUGAGAAUCCCAAGGCGCUUGAGAGAACUCGGGUGAAGGAACUAGGCAAAAUGGCACCGUAACUUCGGGAGAAGGUGCGCCUCUUGGUGUGGUCACGUGCGUGACUGAGCAUCGAGGGGUCGCAGUAACCUGGCCGCUGCGACUGUUUAUCAAAAACACAGCACUCUGCAAACACGAAAGUGGACGUAUAGGGUGUGACGCCUGCCCGGUGCUGGAAGGUUAAUUGAUGGGGUCAGCCGCAAGGCGAAGCUCUUGAUCGAAGCCCCAGUAAACGGCGGCCGUAACUAUAACGGUCCUAAGGUAGCGAAAUUCCUUGUCGGGUAAGUUCCGACCUGCACGAAUGGCGUAACGACAGCGGCGCUGUCUCCACCCGAGACUCAGUGAAAUUGAAAUCGCUGUGAAGAUGCAGCGUUCCCGCGGCAAGACGGAAAGACCCCGUGAACCUUUACUAUAGCUUUACACUGAACGUUGAGUUCUUCUGUGUAGGAUAGGUGGGAGGCUAUGAAACCAGGACGCUAGUUCUGGUGGAGCCAUCCUUGAAAUACCACCCUGAAGUGCUUGACGUUCUAACCUAGGUCCGUAAUCCGGAUCGGGGACCGUGUAUGGUGGGUAGUUUGACUGGGGCGGUCUCCUCCCAAAGAGUAACGGAGGAGCACGAAGGUACGCUCAGCGCGGUCGGACAUCGCGCACUGUGUGCAAAGGCAUAAGCGUGCUUGACUGCGAGAUCGACGGAUCAAGCAGGUACGAAAGUAGGUCUUAGUGAUCCGGUGGUUCUGUAUGGAAGGGCCAUCGCUCAACGGAUAAAAGGUACUCCGGGGAUAACAGGCUGAUACCGCCCAAGAGUUCAUAUCGACGGCGGUGUUUGGCACCUCGAUGUCGGCUCAUCACAUCCUGGGGCUGUAGCCGGUCCCAAGGGUAUGGCUGUUCGCCAUUUAAAGUGGUACGCGAGCUGGGUUCAGAACGUCGUGAGACAGUUCGGUCCCUAUCUGUCGUGGGCGUUGGAGAUUUGAGGGGGGCUGCUCCUAGUACGAGAGGACCGGAGUGGACGUUCCGCUGGUGUUCGGGUUGUCAUGCCCAUGGCAUUGCCCGGUAGCUACGAACGGAAGUGAUAACCGCUGAAAGCAUCUAAGCGGGAAGCACGCCCCAAGAUGAGAUCUCCCGAGAGCUUGACUCUCCUAAAGGCACCAUCAAGACUAGGUGGUUGAUAGGCACGGUGUGGAAGUGCAGCAAUGCAUUGAGCUUACGUGUACUAAUGAGCCGUGAGGCUUGACCAA
rnacentral:rRNA from 1 species